rnacentral:rRNA from 1 species
UACGUAGGCAGCGAGCGUUGUUCGGAGUUACUGGGCGUAAAGGGUGCGUAGGCGGUUGUUUAAGUUUGGUGUGAAAUCUCCCGGCUCAACUGGGAGGGUGCGCCGAAUACUGAAUGACUAGAGUGCGGGAGAGGAGAGUGGAAUUCCUGGUGUAGCGGUGAAAUGCGCAGAUAUCAGGAGGAACACCGGUGGCGAAGGCAGCUUGCUAAACAAAUAUUGACGCUGAGGCACGAAAGCGUGGGGAUCAAACAGG